UAUCAAUAAGCGGAGGAAAAGAAACCAACAGGGAUUGCCCUAGUAACGGCGAGUGAAGCGGCAACAGCUCAAAUUUGAAACCUGGCGCAAGCCCGGAUUGUAAUUUGCAGAGGAUGCUUCUGGGCAGCGGCCGUUCUAAGUUCCUUGGAACAGGACGUCAUAGAGGGUGAGAAUCCCGUAUGUGACCGGCGCGCACCCUUUACGUAGCUCCUUCGACGAGUCGAGUUGUUUGGGAAUGCAGCUCUAAAUGGGAGGUAAAUUUCUUCUAAAGCUAAAUACCGGCCAGAGACCGAUAGCGCACAAGUAGAGUGAUCGAAAGAUGAAAAGCACUUUGGAAAGAGAGUUAAAAAGCACGUGAAAUUGUUGAAAGGGAAGCGCUUCCAACCAGACUCCGCGGCGGUGUUCCGCCGGUCUUCUGACCGGUCUACUCGCCGCCGUGGGGCCAACAUCGUCUGGGGCCGUCGGAUAAGACCGUGGGAAUGUAGCUCAUUGAGUAUUAUAGCCCGCGGUGAUGCGACGCGCGCCGGGCGAGGUCCGCGCUUCGGCAAGGAUGUUGGCGUAAUGGUUGGCAGCGGCCCGUCUUGAA
rnacentral:rRNA from 1 species